rnacentral:lncRNA from 1 species
GAGAAUGAAGAAAAAAUCCCCCACAAUAAUUAGUUUAUGGGUAGAAAAAUAAAUGGGUAGACAAGGGUAAAUAGUUUUGUUUUUGUGGGUAACUGUGUUAAAACCCCAAAAGAAUUCGACUUAAAAGGUUUCUACACAGUUGUUACUUGUCUAUUCCUUUUUAUGGUAGUUCCUUGUAGUUCCCUUUUGAAAUAGGGGGAUUUAAACUGUUGGUUUCCUAUUAUACAAGAGUAUUUUAGAGUAGCUAGUUGAUCCUUGAAUCUGUUCCAUGUAGGCGUCUUAACACAAUUGGAUGUAUCACCUUCUAAACACCUUUAUAUUUUUUCUGUUAAGCAAGGUACGAUCUGGGCGUCUUACCACAAUUGGAUGUAUCACCUUCUAUACACCUUUAUAUUUUUUCUGUUAUGCAAGGUAGGGUCUGCUUAAAAUUUUACCUGAAUAAUCCCAAUUUUAUUUGCACACACAGCUGGAUUAGACAUGCCUAGUAUUAUUUUCCAGAUCCAGACGUCAUAAUUAGCCUUUUAGACAGAUCUGCUGCUCUUUCUCUCCUCUGGUUUUUAGCAUUCACAUGUGUAUUUAUUUUAUGUUUGUUGAUUUGGACUGUAUCUUAUGGUUGAAAGAAAUGGCACUGUCAUCGGAGGGUAUCAAGAUAUUUGAGCAUGU